GCUGACCAUGCUCCACCAAGCGGACGAAAUUUCCCAUGCCCAAUCUGGAUCAGGCCCCACACAGCCACCACUCCGCUAAUCUCGCCCGUGUAUUCCGUAAUCUCUCCCAUAUCCGUUCGCCCUCCAAGAAAACGUUGUCGUUCCUCCCACGCGUAGCACCGGUCCUCCUUCCACCUUCCCCUUCCACCCAUCUGGCCUUCCCGCUUGCCGCUUCCCCGCUCCCCACGCGUCUCCUCUGGUGGCCGCCUUCGGCGAGUGGAAUUUGUUCCUCACUGGCUCGCUGCAUUCUUCCGCUGCGAGGUGUUGGUGUGGGGAUGGGAUCUGACAGGAUCGGGACGAGGAGGCGGCUGCGAGGUACACGCUCUGGACGCCGCGCGUGGAUGCGCUCAUUGCCGAGGCCGAGGCCGCUCUUUCUGGAGGCCGACGCCGCUCUUUCUGGAAGAAAUCCAUCGGUGUCAAGAGGGGUGACGUGGACACCUACGUCCUUCAUGUUUGGGCGCUGGAGGGUGACGGGAGGCAUCGAUUCGCCUAGGGGACUGCGGCUGCUAGAAGAGAUGCAGCAAUUGAAAGAUGCACAGGUACUUGAUGAGAUGCCACUAAGUCAAUCUGCUAUCUCAGGUUAUAUUGGAUGGUAAUUUAUUUUACAAUACAACUACAUCUUUCUUGAAUCAGAUUCGGACUGUUUGCGUGAAAUUUUGUUCUAUAGCUAUUUUUGGGUGGCUUUCUUUGUUUUGCUUUAUGUUGUAUAGUCAGUAGAAAACUCAAGCCCCAUCAUCUAACAAUUCUGUAGUAAUGACUGAAACUAUUCGAGGACAAAUCUUGGAUUAUUGUUGUCGUUGGAAUUUAGAGUUGCAUGGUUGACAUGGUCAACAUGGCAAAGAAAGUAUAGAAGAUUUGCCAAACCAGGUAUGGGCUUGUAGAGUACAUCAGGUAAUCAGAUUCUGCACCCAAAUUUAAUUUUACUUGAUUUUAAAUGCUUCUAGGGAGAUAAUGUCGAUAUGCUAGAUUGUGUUGUAGUUUAUGCUUGUCUGGUUAUGUAUAUUUUCUUCCAGAGCGUCACAUUUCCUUUUUGAGAAAUUCUAAUGGUGUAGGCUGAGCAUGGACGUUUGUGCUGCUGUGUGUUGAGGUCAAUCUCAGUUUGGUACACAGUAGAGCAAAGGGCGUGGCACUCGCCAAAUAUGGUGUAUGUCGGACUUUCCCCAUUUAUUUUUUCUCACACCAUACAAGAAUUAUACAGCUAGGUGAUCAGCUCAUCAUAGCUUUAAAUGAAAAUAAGUUAAAAAUUAGUUUGUCAAUAGUCACUAGAUACAAAUAUACGCCCUCCGUUUCUAAAUAUGAGUCUUCUUAGAUAUUUCAAUACGGACACAUACGGAUGUCAAUAGUCACUAGAUACAAAUAUACUCACUAAAUUCAUUCGUUUCGCUUCGUAUGUAAUUCAUAUUGAAAUCUUUAAAAAGACUUAUAUUAAGGAACAGAGGGAGUACUAUAUUGGGCUCUUUGUUUCAAAAGUUGUUUCUUAUCACGUAUAGAGGUUCAGUAUAGUUUGCAGCUGACAAGAUCCGUAUGACUUGCACUACUUGAUGUUCAUGUCAAGCCACACUUACUGUUAUCACUAAACUGAAAAAUGUCAACUUCCUAAUUAAAUUUACUGAAAUAUUGUGAAGCUGAAGCUCUCUGCAGGUAUUAUAUUUCCUGCUCAAUAUGCUCCUGUAUAAAACAUUUUUCUUGACGUGUGAGCAAACUCUGACGGACAAUAUGCUGAUUAACUUUGUUCUAAACUGUUGAAUCGCCAUAGGGAAGAUAGUAGUGUAGUACUGAGGAAAUACAAAGAAUGAUGAUUUAUAGCAUCAAUAGAGUGUGUAGGCAAUUUUGACUGUGGUACGCGAGGUCAUGUACUUUGUUAUCACUAGAAAAUUUAUGUACCUGUGCUGCUGGCCACUUUUUUUUAUAGACGCAGUAACUAAUCUUUGAAGUGUAUACAUGGUAUCAAAUAUAUCAAGAUUAACAUUAGUUUCCCCUGUUGAAGCUUGUGCAAUUGGAUUUAUGUUGAUCAAGAACUGGUCAACGAUAAAGGAGAACAAGCAUUGUAUUUUGUAUUACUAUUUUUAUACAAACUUUCUUCCCACAC